CCUACGGGGGGCAGCAGUGGGGAAUAUUGCACAAUGGGCGAAAGCCUGAUGCAGCGACGCCGCGUGAGCGAUGAAGUAUUUCGGUAUGUAAAGCUCUAUCAGCAGGGAAGAAAAUGCCGGUACCUGACUAAGAAGCGCCUGCUAACUACGGGCCAGCAGCCGCGGUAAUACGAAGGGGGCAAGCGUUAUCCGGAUUGACUGGGUGUAAAGGGAGCGUAGACGGCUGUGCAAGCCAGAUGUGAAAGCCCGGGGCUCAAACCCGGGACUGCAUUUGGAACUGUGUGGCUGGAGUGUCGGAGAGGCAGGCGGAAUUCCUAGUGUAGCGGUGAAAUGCGUAGAUAUUAGGAGGAACACCAGUGGCGAAGGCGGCCUGCUGGACGAUAACUGACGUUGAGGCUCGAAAGCGUGGGGAGCAAACAGGAUUAGAUACCCUAGUAGUC
rnacentral:rRNA from 1 species